rnacentral:rRNA from 1 species
GUAGGUGGCAAGCGUUGUCCGGAAUUAUUGGGCGUAAAGCGCGCGCAGGCGAUCCUUUAAGUCUGAUGUGAAAGCCCACGGCUCAACCGUGGAGGGUCAUUGGAAACUGGGGGACUUGAGUACAGAAGAGGAAAGCGGAAUUCCAAGUGUAGCGGUGAAAUGCGUAGAGAUUUGGAGGAACACCAGUGGCGAAGGCGGCUUUCUGGUCUGUAACUGACGCUGAGGCGCGAAAGCGUGGGGAGCAAACAGGAUUAGAUACCCUGGUAGUCCACGCCGUAAACGAUGAGUGCUAAGUGUUAGGGGGUUUCCGCCCCUUAGUGCUGCAGCUAACGCAUUAAGCACUCCGCCUGGGGAGUACGGCCGCAAGGCUG